rfam:Brachypodium distachyon strain Bd21 chromosome 2, whole genome shotgun sequence.
UAUCUACUCCCUCCGUCACAUAUGAAGUGUCUCAAAUUUGUUUAAAUAUGGAUGUAUCGAUGUCUAGAAAGCAUCUAGAUACAUGUAAUAUUUUGACACUUAAUAUGGGACGGAGGGAGUAUACA